rnacentral:rRNA from 1 species
CUACGGAGGGGGCUAGCGUUGUUCGGAAUUACUGGGCGUAAAGCGCGCGUAGGCGGGUUGGCAAGUUGAAGGUGAAAUCCCAGGGCUCAACCCUGGAACUGCCUCCAAAACUGCCAGUCUUGAGUUCGGAAGAGGUGAGUGGAAUUCCUAGUGUAGAGGUGAAAUUCGUAGAUAUUAGGAAGAACACCAGUGGCGAAGGCGACUCACUGGUCCGAUACUGACGCUGAGGUGCGAAAGCGUGGGGAGCAAACAGGAUUAGAAACCCUAGUAGUCC